AAUUCUCAAAACCUAUUGUUCUUCUUGAAUGGUAGGCUUUGGAUGUGAGGGCUUUGCUGGCCUUUGACAGGUUCAGCUCCCUUCGAAUGCAUUAGUGGUUGCUUAUCCGCUUUCAAUUGGUGUGAUAGUUAGUUAUCUACGCCUUUUGAAACGGAAUCGCUUGCUUAUCCGCUUCUAACCGUCUUGUUAUAUUGGACAAGUCUUGACC
rnacentral:misc_RNA from 1 species